rnacentral:pre_miRNA from 1 species
AUCCUACUCCCUCCGUUUCAAAUUACUCGUCGCAGAAAUGGAUGUAUCUAGAACUAAAAUACAUCUAGAUACAUCCAUACCCGCGACAAGUAAUUCCGAACAGAGGGAGUAUAUA